GAUGAAGAACGCAGCGAAAUGCGAUAAGUAAUGUGAAUUGCAGAAUUCAGUGAAUCAUCGAAUCUUUGAACGCACCUUGCGCUCCUUGGUAUUCCGAGGAGCAUGCCUGUUUGAGUGUCAUUAAUAUAUCAACCUCUUCAGCUUAUGCUUGUUGAGUGUUGGAUGGUGGGGGUUUGCUGGUGUCUUAUGAAGUCAGCUCCUCUGAAAUGCAUUAGCGGAACAACCUGUUCAUUAGCGUGAUAAUUAUCUAUGCUAUUGAAUGUGAGGGCAGUUCAGCUUUCUAACCGUCCUUGGACAAUUCAGCAUUAAUGUGACCUAAAAUCAGGUAGGACUACCCGCUGAACUUAAGCAUAUCAAUAAGCGGAGGA
rnacentral:misc_RNA from 1 species